CUAUGAACUAGCAUGUGCGCAUACUGUGGUAUGUCUGGCGCUGUUAUCUGCAGUAGUAACACGCUUUAAUGCACUUUAGUCACUUUUGUGAGAGUGUCUUGUGAUAAAGAGAUUUUCUUGAGUAAUAUUUGAGAAAAAACCCAGCUGAAGUGAAUGAGAGUGGAGCUGAUGGAUUGCACCCGGAGUCAUGCAUGACUUAGCAUCUCGUUUGCUUCCCCCAGCUGGCAGAGACGUUGGAACAACGGCGGGAUUUACACAGACACAAAGUUUGGGGAUUGUAUUGGGAGCUCGUGACUGGUAGGAGAGCAAACAAAGAGUGGAGGUGUCGAGAUGAAACGGUUAAAUGGAAUAGAGUCGCCCCAAAUGAAAAAACCUGGAGCAGCGAGCAGAACAACAACAUCAACGUUUGGUCAUAAAGGCAAGGCAUGAGUUUUCUUUUCUUCUGUCUGUUUAAUGUUGUUAUUACUCUUCACUAUGCACUUGACUCCACUUCCUGUAGUUUGUAACUCGCUACUUCUUCCUUCUUUAACAGUGUUUGUAAGCAUUAUUUCCCCAGUUAAAGCAAAACUGCCAAAGGAAAGUUGUAAAUGACUUCCAUGAUGGAUUAUGAAGGUAAGGAAACUGUACUGAGAAUUUUUGUAACCAAUUACCGAAUUAAACAUAAGAUUCAGUUUGAGGCAGUCAUGAGGCCCCAGCCACAAGGAAAUGUACCUGCUUGUGAUUUCAAAGGAAAAUGCUAGAAUUAACAUUUGUCUUUUGGUUUUUAUUGGGAUCCAGCUGACUGAAUUAUUGACGAUAAUGUCCACCUCUCAAGUUUCAUAACCUUUCAGAAAUACUCAGGGAUAAACAUUGGAGUCCAAAAUACAGAGUUGAGGCAUCACUUGAACCUCUGCUAAAUGUGAACAAUCUUCCAGUGUGCAUCCAGCCUUCACAGGGAGACAACAUUCAAGGCGUAGAAUAUAUCUAAAAAGGAAAUACUGUACAAUAGUCACAUCACAGCCCAGCAGAGAGGACAGAGAGAUAGAGAAGGAAAAAGUGGCGCUUUUUUUUUUUAAACAUCUGAUUUUGUUUUUUCAACAUAUCAUUUUUUCUUUUUUCUUUGUACAAGCAUGUAAAGUUCACAGUCUCGCUGAAGCGAACACACGAAAAUCACUGGUGUGUGUGUCGCUUUUUUUCUCUUCUGUACAGGUUGUGUGUGUGUGUUGUCACAGGCACACUCAAAUAUGCAAGCAUGCCCUCUCUUAUUCACACAGAAUCACGUGCACACACUCUCAAACACACACACACUCACAGGCACACAUGCUCACAGGUUGGGUUCGGGUCACCACAAAGAAGUUUUGCACUCUGUGUGUCCCAGUGUUGCGUUGAGAAUGACAGGCAGCGUCAACGGCGAUCAGAAAAGAUGAUUUCAACCCACAGCCAAUCAGAAGGAGCUGAGUGCCUCCAAAGCCACUUCAUAGCAGAACUUAUAUUGUUCCUGGAAAACAAGAAUAAGAGAAGGAGCUGAGAGGAGGGUCGAUUGCUGAGUCCCACCUGGGCCUGGUGCGUGCUCCAGUAUAGUUACUCCUAUUGUCAUAAGUCACGCUCUGUCAUUGGGUAUGAGGAAAGCUCUGGGAUUCCUUCGUUGUUUUCCACACUUUGUUACUAAAUACUAACUGUACAAAACUGUGUUGUUUGAUUUUAACUUGU